GACGGAGGAUGCAAGCGUUAUCCGGAAUUAUUGGGCGUAAAGCGUCCGCAGGUGGCUGUUCAAGUCUGCUGUUAAAGCCCGAGGCUUAACCUCGGAUCGGCGGUGGAAACUGAACGGCUAGAGUAUGGCAGGGGUUAGGGGAAUUCCCGGUGUAGCGGUGAAAUGCGUAGAUAUCGGGAAGAACACCAGCGACGAAAGUGCCUAACUGGGCCAUUACUGACACUCAUGGACGAAAGCUAGGGGAGCGAAAGGG
rnacentral:rRNA from 1 species